rnacentral:rRNA from 1 species
AGUCGAGGGGUAUAUGUCUUCGGAUAUAGAGACCGGCGCACGGGUGCGUAACGCGUAUGCAAUCUGCCUUUUACAGAGGGAUAGCCCAGAGAAAUUUGGAUUAAUACCUCAUAGCAUAGCAGCUUCGCAUGAAGCAGCUAUUAAAGUCACAACGGUAAAAGAUGAGCAUGCGUCCCAUUAGCUAGUUGGUAAGGUAACGGCUUACCAAGGCUACGAUGGGUAGGGGUCCUGAGAGGGAGAUCCCCCACACUGGUACUGAGACACGGACCAGACUCCUACGGGAGGCAGCAGUGAGGAAUAUUGGACAAUGGGCGCAAGCCUGAUCCAGCCAUGCCGCGUGCAGGAUGACGGUCCUAUGGAUUGUAAACUGCUUUUGUACGAGAAGAAACACUCCUACGUGUAGGAGCUUGACGGUAUCGUAAGAAUAAGGAUCGGCUAACUCCGUGCCAGCAGCCGCGGUAAUACGGAGGAUCCAAGCGUUAUCCGGAAUCAUUGGGUUUAAAGGGUCCGUAGGCGGUUUAGUAAGUCAGUGGUGAAAGCCCAUCGCUCAACGGUGGAACGGCCAUUGAUACUGCUAAACUUGAAUUAUUAGGAAGUAACUAGAAUAUGUAGUGUAGCGGUGAAAUGCUUAGAGAUUACAUGGAAUACCAAUUGCGAAGGCAGGUUACUACUAAUGGAUUGACGCUGAUGG